UAAAGUUUUUGUAUAUGAAACAGUAGGAUUGUUCUUUAUUUAGGUUUCCGCUCAUGAUACAAUAUGUGUGCAAAUGUGUCGACUUUCUACUACAUAUGCUAAUAUAAUUUAUUUGAGUAAACAACGUGUGUCUAAUACUAUCUGAGACGGUCCCUCAAACUGCCCACAGAAGUUGAACAAGUACCACCAAUUUUGCUUCUGCAUCUCUGAGGCCAUAACUACUCAUACCCCUGAAUUAUUAUGUAUCCUAUUAACUGAUUCAUCACCUCGUACCUGCGACGCCGUUCACUUUGACAUGCUCACCUGUUGCUCCAUCCUGCGAGAGUGGUCACCUCUGCGUGCCGGCUAGCGAGUACUGCUUGCCCAACCACAUGUC
rnacentral:lncRNA from 1 species